rnacentral:rRNA from 1 species
UACGGGGGGAGCAAGCGUUGUUCGGAUUUACUGGGCGUAAAGGGCGCGUAGGCGGUCAGCACAAGCCAGUUGUGAAAUCUCCGGGCUUAACUCGGAAAUGGCAUUGGAAACUAUCUGGCUGGAGGGUCGGAGGGGGGACUGGAAUUCUCGGUGUAGCAGUGAAAUGCGUAGAUAUCGAGAGGAACACCAGUGGCGAAGGCGAGUCCCUGGACGACUCCUGACACUGAGGCACGAAAGCUAGGGGAGCAAACAGG